UACGUAGGGUGCAAGCGUUAAUCGGAAUUACUGGGCGUAAAGCGUGCGCAGGCGGUUAUGUAAGACAGAUGUGAAAUGCCCGGGCUUAACCUGGGAACUGCAUUUGUGACUGCAAGGCUUGAGUGCGGCAGAGGAGACUGGAAUUCUCGGUGUAGCGGUGAAAUGCGUAGAUAUCGAGAGGAACACCUGCGGCGAAGGCGGGUUGCUGGGCUGACACUGACGCUGAGGCGCGAAAGCUAGGGGAGCGAACGGG
rnacentral:rRNA from 1 species